rnacentral:misc_RNA from 1 species
GAUGAAGAACGUAGCGAAAUGCGAUAAGUAAUGCGAAUUGCAGAAUCCGUGAGUCAUCGAAUCUUUGAACGCACAUUGCGCCCCUUGGUAUCCCGAGGGGCAUGCCUGUUCGAGCGUCAUUUCACCACUCAAGCCUGGCUUGGUGUUGGGCGACGUCCCCUUUGGGGACGCGCCUCGAAACGCUCGGCGGCGUGGCACCGGCUUUAAGCGUAGCAGAAUCUUUCGCUUUGGAAGUCGGGGCCCCGUCUGCCGGAAGACCUACUCGCAAGGUUGACCUCGGAUCAGGCAGGGAUACCCGCUGAACUUAAGCAUAUCAAUAAGCGGAGGA